CAGACAGAAAAGACACAUGUGAAGUCAAUUCAUUAUUCCCAUGGGACACUGUCAAUUGUCACCUUAAUUGUAAUACUUUUAUAAGUGAUUGUUUAGACAUAUAAAUACUGGGUGGUUCCUGUAAUACACUUUGAAGCUUUGAACAACCGUGUGGUGUGCUGUGGGUUUUUUCCCUCCCAGGCCUGCCUCUGGAUCUUUGCUUUCUAUACCUGGCUCGAGCAUUAUUGUGGUUUAUGCUGUGCAUACUUCAUUCUUAAUUAUGCUUAUUACUAUCUCACCUGUGCUUUGAAUGCACACCAAGCUAACGGAAUGCCUGAGCCCCUGGUCCAAGUAGUAUGUGGCUGGGUUAGCUUGUUGUUGAAACAAGGGCCCAGGAAAGGGACGGGUCCUCUCCUGGUCCCAGUACAGCAGCAUGUUGCUCUUGUUACGUAUUUUAAGAGCCUGAGCUACCCACACCUAGCCCCUAGGAAGCAGGACCAAACAUAUAAGGCGUAAAUAGGCCAUGCGGAUCCUACCAACAGUCAACAUCGAGCAAAAGCUCUUCAGAAUCUCCUGGCAGCGAGCAGACAAGGGGUUAAUGUUUUUGAUCAGCUGGGAGACGCUCAGCACGUGCUAGACACGCUUCCACCUCCUUUUGCUCCGUAGUUUACAAUACCGAAAUACUUUAACAAAUAAAGUCUCUUAAAAGCUAUCCUGGAUUGGAACACUUUCUUGGAAGAACUCAGCAAAAUUGGUGACCCUGCCGUUCUUGGAAAGCACCGGGACCGAGACUCGAAGCACGCGGCCAUUGGGAUGCAAUACAAGCUUUUUGCAGGCGCCACUGAAAGCUUCAACUUUUCUGCCAUUGCCUCCUCUGCUGGGUUUGAUUGAUCAAGAUGAGUUUUCAUCUCAUAAAGUUUGCCAACGGGGACAUUGCUGUGGUCCCGGAAAAUUGGUGUGAUGACGGGAUGGUGUAUUGGCCAAAAUAUAAAAACACCGAACGGGCCAAAAGGGCAGCGGCCAACAGUGAGACACCAGAGUCAAACUUGCCAAAAUAUGACGUGAUGAUAAUCAGAACUUGUGGUAUGCCAAUUCAUAAAACUGUAGUUUAAAGAAAAUGUUAUGGUUUCUUCUCCUUCUGCUUGGAAUAACAUAUUCUGUCUAUGUUUUGAAAAUUGUCUUGCAUUGCUUUAAUUUUUGGUAUGAGCAGCAGUGCUGAGUAUGUA